UACGGAGGGGGCUAGCGUUGUUCGGAAUCAUUGGGCGUAAAGGGCGCGUAGGCGGCCACGCAAGUCGGAUGUGAAAUCCCUCGGCUCAACCGAGGAACUGCACCCGAAACUGCGAGGCUCGAGUCCUGGAGAGGGUAGUGGAAUUCCCAGUGUAGCGGUGAAAUGCGUAGAUACUGGGAGGAACACCGGUGGCGAAGGCGGCUACCUGGACAGGUACUGACGCUGAGGCGCGAAAGCCAGGGGAGCAAACAGG
rnacentral:rRNA from 1 species